rnacentral:rRNA from 1 species
UAAGGGAGUGAAAUAGAUCCUGAAACCAUACGCUUACAAGCGGUCGGAGCCCUUUAGGGGGUGACGGCGUGCCUUUUGCAUAAUGAGCCUACGAGUUACCGUUGCUAGCAUGGUUAAUCCGUUCAGCGGAGGAUCCGAAGCGAAAGCGAGUCUGAAUAGGGCGAAUAAGUUAGUAGUGGUAGACGCGAAACCGAGUGAUCUACCCAUGAGCAGGUUGAAGCUUUGUUAACCCAAAGUGGAGGACCGAACCCGUUGACGUUGAAAAGUCUUGGGAUGACUUGUGGGUAGGGGUGAAAGGCCAAUCAAACUCGGAAAUAGCUCGUACUCCCCGAAAUGCAUUUAGGUGCAGCGUUGAGUUAAGUUUUAUAGAGGUAGAGCUACCGAUUGGGCUAGGGGGCUUCACCGCCUACCAAACCCUGACGAACUCCGAAUGCUAUAAAAUGUUUCUCAGCAGUGAGGGCAUGGGUGCUAAGGUCCAUGUCCGAGAGGGAAAGAACCCAGACCAUCAGCUAAGGUCCCCAAGUGUAUACUAAGUUGAAUAAACGAGGUUUGACUGCCCAGACAGCUAGGAUGUUGGCUUGGAAGCAGCCAUUCAUUUAAAGAGUGCGUAACAGCUCACUAGUCGAGCGAUCCGGCAUGGAUAAUAAUCGGGCAUAAACAUACUACCGAAGCUAUGGACUUGUAAAAGUGGUAGGGGAGCAUUGUAGUGUCGUCGAAGGUGAAGCGUGAGCUUUGCUGGAGAAGCUACAAAAGAAAAUGUAGGCAUAAGUAACGAUAAUGCGGGCGAGAAACCCGCACACCGAAAGACUAAGGUUUCCUCAGCUAUGCUAAUCAGCUGAGGGUUAGUCGGGACCUAACGCGAACCCGAAAGGGGUAGUGGAUGGACAACAGGUUAAUAUUCCUGUACCUGCUCACGCUAAAAGUGACGGAGGCGAAAAGUUAGUGCGCACAGACGGAAUUGUGCGUUGAAGCCAGUGGUAACACGGCGAUAGUACACUAAGGCUUCGGCUGCGGUGAUAAUCUAGCAAAUCGACUUCCAAGAAAAGCAAGUGAAGCAGCCCGUACCCUAAACCGACACAGGUAGUUGGGAUGAGAAUUCUAAGGUGCUCGAGAGAUUCAUGGCUAAGGAACUAGGCAAAAUCGACCCGUAACUUCGGGAGAAGGGUCGCCCAUCUUCGGAUGGGCCGCAGUGAAGAGGUCCAGGCGACUGUUUAUCAAAAACACAGGGCUCUGCUAAAUCGAAAGAUGAUGUAUAGGGCCUGACACCUGCCCGGUGCUGGAAGGUUAAGUGGAGGGGUUAGCUUCGGCGAAGCUCUGAAAUGAAGCCCCAGUAAACGGCGGCCGUAACUAUAACGGUCCUAAGGUAGCGAAAUUCCUUGUCGGGUAAGUUCCGACCUGCACGAAUGGUGUAACGAUCUGGACACUGUCUCAGCCAUGAGCUCGGUGAAAUUGUAGUAUCGGUGAAGAUGCCGAUUACCCGCAGCGGGACGAAAAGACCCCGUGAACCUUUACUAUAGCUUAGUAUUGGCUUUGGAUAAGUAAUGUGUAGGAUAGGUGGGAGACUUUGAAGCGGCGUCGCUAGGCGUUGUGGAGUCAUUGUUGAAAUACCACCCUUUGCUUAUCUAGAGUCUAACUUUCCUUGAAAGGACAGUGCUUGGUGGGUAGUUUGACUGGGGUGGUCGCCUCCAAAAGAGUAACGGAGGCUUCUAAAGGUUCCCUCAAUACGGUUGGCAAUCGUGUGUAGAGUGCAAUGGCAUAAGGGAGCUUGACUGAGAGACCUACAAGUCGAUCAGGUACGAAAGUAGAGCAUAGUGAUCCGGUGGUUCCGCAUGGAAGGGCCAUCGCUCAAAGGAUAAAAGGUACUCCGGGGAUAACAGGCUGAUCUCCCCCAAGAGCUCACAUCGACGGGGGGGUUUGGCACCUCGAUGUCGGCUCGUCACAUCCUGGGGCUGGAGAAGGUCCCAAGGGUUGGGCUGUUCGCCCAUUAAAGUGGCACGCGAGCUGGGUUCAGAACGUCGUGAGACAGUUCGGUCUCUAUCUACAGUGGGCGUUAGAAAUUUGAGUGGAUCUGUUCCUAGUACGAGAGGACCGGAAUGGACUGACCUCUGGUGUACCAGUUGUUCCGCCAGGAGCAUUGCUGGGUAGCUACGUCGGGAAGGGAUAAGCGCUGAAAGCAUAUAGUAUGGCAAACACCAGAAACCGAUCAUUGGAUAGCUUAUUUGAAAAAUUUAGU